CCGCGGCGUGCGGCGGGGCGGGGAGCGGCGGCGAGGAGGCGGGCGGGCAGAGGGGGUCCUGCCGCGCAGGCCGGGGCUGGCCGAGGGCGGCAGCUGCUCCGCCACAACGCGCCUGCGGACUCCUUCCGCAAAGUUUGCGGGCGGGAGGAGGAGGGGAGCCGCGGCGGGACUGCAGCAGCCGGGCUGGAGAUGCCCCUGAGGAGCCUCCUGCCGACGGCGGGGCUGCGGCAGCGCCGCUGAAGCCCGCGCUGGCCGCCCGCCUUCCUCCGGGGAGGGACGGGACCGAGCCGGCCGCUCUGCGGCUGUGCCGCCUCCGCGCCCCGCGGGGCUCGCCUCUUCCCGGCUGCGGACCCGGCCCCGUCUCUGGGGUGUUGCCCUUCCCUGCCACCGGGGCUGCGGAGCGCGGUGCUGCGCCGCCGCUGCCGCCCGCUCGCCCACCUCCCCUCCCCGCGCCGGCCGGGCAGGUCGGUGCCCUCUGCGGCGCCCGGAGCCCCCGCCGCCGGAGCCCGCCGCAGCCCCGCACGGCUGCAUGCCCGCCGCGGUCUCGGCACGUCUGGAUUCGCUGGAGUCCUGGGCCUUCCAUGCGCUGCUGGUGCUGCCCUAUAUGUUUUAUUUGGGCUUGUUCUUUGUCAACGUGCUGAUCCUGUACUAUGCCUUCCUGAUGGAGUACAUCGUUCUCAAUGUAGGCAUCGUCUUCCUGCCCGAGGAUAUGGACCAGGCUCUGGUGGAUCUGGGGGUGCUCUCCGACCCUGGCUCCGUGCUCUACGAGACGGACAGCGAGCUGGAUGUCUUUGACGGGUACUUGGAGUGACGCCCCGGGGCGCUCCGAAGCGACUGCGGGCUGUCGCCGGGCCGGGCGUCCCGGCAUGGCCGUGGCUCGGGGGCCGCCGCGGCCCCGCCAUGCCCUCGCUGCGUCUCGGCUCCUUCUGCGCAGCAUCUUCCCUUCCAAACGCCCCCCCCGCCCCGCUCCCCCGUGCCCGGGUCGCGCUGCCGCCGGGCAGAGCCGCGGACACGCAGGGGGCUCGCAAGGGAAAUUCAUUAAACACCUGAAUGGAUUAUGACCAGGUUAAUGGAUCAAGUGAUGGAAAGAAACUAUACUCUGAAAUGUAGAGAUGAAAAGAUGGACAAGGGGACAACAAGAAGAGUUGUCAUCAGACCUUGUCGGUUGUGACUUUUCUCCAUGGUCAUUGCCUCUUGAGUGUGCACUAACUGCAGUGAUUCAUGCACCGCACUGGGCUUCCAUAGGUAAUUCUGGGAUGGACUACAUGAACAAAUAAUAUAAGCUAUGUUCUAUUAUAACAGAAAAUCAAGAUGUUACUCAGAUUUGAUAAACUUUUGAAUAAAUAACAUGUCACCCAAAUGGACACGCUCUACAUACUGCUUAAGCAAGUUUUACAACCACACAUUGAAAACCCUACCAGCCAGUAGUUCACAGACAGUACUCUCUCAGGGGAAAAUAUGCAGGAGUGACUGCAAGGAGGUUCUCUUCAGGGCAGUUUACGGCAAGAACUGUGCUAGUAAGAUAUUUUAUUUAAAUUGUGAGUUUUGAAAUAGAUCAGAGAGUAAAUUUUAUAUAAGUCAGGUGGAUUCAUUAUUUAUCACAAGAUACUUUGCAGAUUGUUUCAGCUCAUAUUCUUAUGUACAGAUGUGAAAGCAAUGCAAUAAAGACUGACC